GCGGGGAGGAAGGCGGUGAGGUUAAUAACCUCAUCAAUUGACGUUACCCGCAGAAGAAGCACCGGCUAAUUCCGUGCCAGCAGCCGCGGUAAUACGGAGGGUGCAAGCGUUAAUCGGAAUUACUGGGCGUAAAGCGCACGCAGGCGGUCUGUCAAGUCGGAUGUGAAAUCCCCGGGCUCAACCUGGGAACUGCAUUCGAAACUGGCAGGCUAGAGUCUAGUAGAGGGGGGUAGAAUUCC
rnacentral:rRNA from 1 species